UACGGGGGAUCCAAGCGCUAUCCGGAAUCAUUGGGUUUAGAGGGUCCGUAGGCGGGAUAAUAAGGCGGCGGUGAAAGUCUGUGGCUCAACCAUAGAAUUGCCAUUGAUACUGUUAUUCUUGAGUGCUUAUGAAGUGGUUAGAAUAUGUAGUGUAGCGGUGAAAUGCAUAGAUAUUACAUAGAAUACCGAUUGCGAAGGCAGAUCACUAAUAAUUCACUGACGCUGGUGGACGAAAGCGUAGGGAGCGAACAGG
rnacentral:misc_RNA from 1 species